rnacentral:tRNA from 1 species
GCCUAGUUAGCUUAGUUGGUAUUGCGUCUGCCUUGUAAGCGCUAGGCCGUGGGUUCGAUUCCCGUCCGGGGCG